rnacentral:misc_RNA from 1 species
GAUGAAGAACGCAGCGAAAUGCGAUAAGUAAUGUGAAUUGCAGAAUUCAGUGAAUCAUCGAAUCUUUGAACGCAUCUUGCGCUCCUUGGUAUUCUGAGGAGCAUGCCUGUUUGAGUGUCAUUAAAUUCUCAACUACACUGACUUUGAAUUGGUGUGGCUUGGAUUUGGGGGGAAAAUUGUUGUGGGCUUUUUGUAUAGUCUGCUCCCCUGAAAUUGAUUAGCGGUACCUUUGUGGAACUGUCUACAGGUGUGAUAAUUAUCUACAUCUUAGCCAUCUGCUGGAAUGCUGCUUUCUAAACCUUACUUGUAUUGACAAUCUUGACCUCAAAUCAGGUAGGACUACCCGCUGAACUUAAGCAUAUCAAUAAGCGGAGGA